GGUCAAGCUACAAAGGGCGCAUGGUGAAUGCCUUGGCACUAGGAGCCGAAGAAGGACGUGAUAAGCUGCGAUAAGCUUUGGGUAGGCGCAAAUAGCCAGUGAUCCAGAGAUUUCCGAAUGGGGCAACCCCCAUAGUUAACACUAUGGACUAUAUACUGAAUACAUAGGUAUAUAGAGGUAAACCCGGGGAACUGAAACAUCUAAGUACCCGGAGGAAGAGAAAGACUGA
rfam:Clostridium sp. BL8 Contig230, whole genome shotgun sequence.